AACCAGCACAUCAAGUGGUCAGGAUGAUUAUUUGGCCUAAAGCAUCCGUAGCUCGUUUUGUAAGUUUUCGGUUAAAUCCAUGCGCUUAACGUAUGGGCUGCCGGGAAUACUGCAUAACUAGGAAGUGGGAGAGGUAGACGGUACUCGGUAGGCAGGGGUACAAUCCUUUGAUCUAUUGAUGACCACCUGUGGCGAAGGCGGUCUACCAGAACGCGUUCGACGGUGAGGGAUGACAGCUGGGGGAGCAAAGCGGAUUAGAUAGCCGGGUAGUCCCAGCUGUAAACUAUGCAAACUCAGUGAUGCAUUGGCUUGUGGCAAAUGCAGUGCUGCAGGGAAGACGUUAAGUUUGCCGCCUGGGAAGUGCGUACGCGAGUAUGAAACUGAAAGGAAUUGACGG
rnacentral:rRNA from 1 species